GACGAACGCUGGCGGCGUGCCUAAUACAUGCAAGUCGAACGCAGUUGAGAACGGGUGAGUAACGCGUAGGUAACUGCCUCAUAGCGGGGGACAACUAUUGGAAACGAUAGCUAAUACCGCAUACUGUGAGAUGGACCUGCGUUGUAUUAGCUAGUUGGUGAGUUAAAGGCUCACCAAGGCGACGAUACAUAGCCGACCUGAGCGGGUGAGCGGCCACACUGGGACUGAGACACGGCCCAGACUCCUACGGGAGGCAGCAGGGGGGAUUCUUGCACAAUGGGCGCAAGCCUGAUGCAGCAAUGCCGCGUGAAUGAAGAAGGCCUUCGGUUUGUAAAGUACUUUCAGCGAGGAGGCGGUACUCGCAGAAGAAGCAACGGCUAACUCCGUGCCAGCAGCCGCGGUAAUAC
rnacentral:rRNA from 1 species